UUUUUGAUUCUGUCAGUAGCAAUGAUCGUGAUGGAUAUGGACAACCUGAUGGUGGAAGCGGCAUGCCAGUGAUAAGUGCAGUACCACCAGGUUGAUCACCAAGAAAAUGCUCGCAAAAUAUAGAGUUUGAUAUCUUGAUACCAUGCUCAGGCUUGACGCCAUUGAUGACAUCACAUUAUAAGAACGUUAUGUACCUAAGGAAAGUCCAUAACAAAAAAUUAUCACAAAUUGGUCUGAUAUAUAGAACACAUGAAUCAUAUUUUAAAGGAAAGUCCGUAAUGAAGAAAUAACGCAAAUUGAUCUGAUAAAUAGAACAUCAAUUAUUAUAUUUUAAAGGAAAGUCUAUAAUGAAGAAAUAAUGCAAAUUGAUCUGAUAAAUAGAACAUCAAUUAUAUUUUAAAGAGAAUUAAAAGACGCAUUCCCUCUCAAGAGUACUUUUCGGUAACAACUAAACUGGAGCUACGUUAGCUUUAUUUAAUAGAAAGCAUUCUAUACAAUAUGGUGCAGCAGUUGGAAC